UGGAAUUUGACACAACAUUGUAAAAUGAUUAAGAUGAUUACAAAUCAAUAAAAAAGGUUCAAAAAAAAGAGACAUCCUUGUUUAGGUCAAUGGAUUAAUAAAAAUGUGGUACAUCCAGACAAUGGAAUAUUACUCAGUGCUUAAAAUGAAAUGAGCUAUCACACAAUGGAAAGACAUGGAAGAAAUUUAAAUGCAUAUUAGUAAGUGAAAGAAGCCAGUUUCAAAGGCUGCGCAUUGUAUGAUUCCAAGUAUAGGACACUCUAGGAAAGGCAAAAUUAUGGAGUCAGUAAAAGGAUGAGUGGUUGCCGAGUUUGGGCGGGGAAGGAUGAAUGGGGGAACACAGGAUUUUCAGGGCAGUGAAAUUAUUCUAUAUGAUACUGUAAUUGUGGAUACGUAUCAAUAUGCAUUUCCCCAACCUCAUGGAUGGUGCAACACCGAGAGUGAAUCCUAACGUAGACCAUGGACUUUGGGUGACACUGAGGGGUCAGUACAGGUUCAUCAGCUGUAGCAAACGCCGCACUCUGAUGCGGGACGUUGAUGGCGGGGGAGGAGGCUGUACAUUUGGGAAGAUGGGGUUAAUGAGAAAUCUCUGUACCUUCCCCUCAAUUUUAAUGUGAACCUAAAACUGCUCUAAAAAAUAGUCUUUUUAAAAAGCCCCCAAAUCUCCCAGUGCCCAAGCCAGAAGGUCGAUGUCAUCCUUGCCACCCACUCUUUCCCUUCCUCCUGACCUCACCAAUGCUCAAGACUUGUGAAUUCCACUAUCAGACUAUACUCCCACCUCUCAAGCCGCCUCCAUGGCUCUUACCUCUCCCACGGCAACAGCCUUACCUCCUUCAGUCUCUUACUUUCUGAUGAGUAAGAGUGAGCUUCUUAAAGCAUACACUAUAUCGUAGCAUCUCACUGCCCUUAGGAUAAAAUUGUAAAUCCUCAUUCUGGGCCUGAAGCCCCUGACCCUAACCAUUUCCUAAGCUCACAUUUUCAGCCUCGAGCUGACACCUCCUGCUGUGUUGCAGACGUGUCUAAGUUCCUGCAAAAUGCCAAGCUCAUCUCUGCCUUGAAACUUUGGCACAAGCUGGUCCUCUCCUGACGCUUCAAGAAUCAGUUUAAAAGCCCCUCCCCCAGAAAGAUCUUCUCAGCAAACUCCCUCUUCUAAAUGAGGCCUACCUGCUCAACUCUCGCGUGGUCCUCACCUCCCCUUGGCACUGACCACCAUCUAUAAUGACACACAUAUUUCAGGGGUACCAGUGGGAUGUGUGUGUCCCCUGCAUGGUGGGCAGACCACGUCUGGGCUUCACUUCAGCUCUGAGGAACCGAAAGCUCACCCAUCACCUGGUCAGCACCUGGUACCAUGGCUGACACCAUAAAUGCCACAGGAGUGAUGGGACUUUGGUCUGGCACUAGCAGGAGGUACCAGGCUUGGACACAUGCCAACCACUUACUGAGGACGGUGGGUGACCCAGAAGGACCUGACCUCGCCACUGAUGUGACAAGGGGCAGGAGAGCAGCAUGCCAAGGAUGAAUCUGGCUGGGCACCUGCAUCGAGGGACGGGGAAGAAAGACUCGGAGAAAGCCAGGAAGGUACCGGUCAGAAAAGGCAGAGGAGAAUCCAGGGUAAACAGGGUCAUGGAGGUCAAGGGUGAGGGGGCUUUGCCCUUUGACUCUGAGCAUCUCUCCUACAUUCUAAGAGUUACCCGAAAAUCAGACUUGUCUAAACAGCUAUUGUGACAGAAAACCAGAGCCAGAGAAAUGCAUAAAUUAAUGGGCUUGGAGAGAAGAGGUCAAGAGAUAAUCUGGUCUGUUCCACAGGUGAAGAUAUUCUAGUCACUGCAGAGAUGAAGGAAUGGAGACCUUGUGGGAACCGACCCGCCCAAAGCCACCCAGAGCUCACCCUUGCGUUGGGGCUGGCCUGCCUUCCCGGUAAAGGCCCAGACAGUAAAUGCUGCAGGCUUACUGGGGCACCGGGCCUUGUCCCAACCGCCCAGCUGGAGGGUGCGAGCAGCCGCUGCCAGCCUGUGACUGCACACACACGACUGUGUGCAAUGAAACAAGAGCAGGCGGAUGGGCGGUUUGGCCCCGGGCCGAGGUCUGCUGGUCCCUGCCCUCAGCUGUUGCUGGUACCAGGGGUCCCGGUUCACUGUUCAUUUAUCAGCUGAUUCGAACACUCUCUGGCUUCUCUUACUAUUAACAGUAAAACAAGACACAGAAGAGAUCGGACAGAGCA